AAACCUCGCAGAGACUGGCCGGGAUUCUGUCAUUCAGCCUCUUUUUCCAGCUGUGACAGCAGUUCACCACAAAGAUCCCAGGCUGGCAGUUUCUAAUUGGUCGAGCCAGUGAUGCUUUUGAGCAGAGUGGUGCAGACACCAGGAAGAUGAAGCACUUGCUGAGAGUGGCAGAAUUUGGGCGUUGGGAGGGCGGCAUAAAAACUGAAUGAACUAUUCAUAGAGAACUGAAGAAGUCUGAUUGACUGGGUGAAGGGACUGGAGGCCAGAGCAAAUCUUCAAGAGAAUGCCUGCCCAGAGUUGGAACUGUAGCCGUUAUUCAAACAGAGAUACCGAUAAUGGUUUGAAUACCAUCCAUGUGCACUUUCGAUGCGGGAAAGCAUUCCAGGUGUUUCAGAGACUGAAGAAACCAACAUGAGUCACAUAUGAGCUGCUACAAAUUUGAUGAAAUGGUAAGUUUGAUGAAGGGUUUUGGAGGAGGAGGGAGAGGCGAACAGAUGAAAGGCUUUAGGGGAGGCAGCUCAGAGCUUCAGUUCUCAUUAGAUGCAGGAGGGCUAUCACCAAUUGUCAAUGAGAGUAGGGAGUGUGUAAGAAGCCAGAGUUGGAGGGAGAGCGUUCUCGGUUGUAGAGAUGUAGAAGAUCGCAGACUCAGGGAGAC